GAUGAACGCUAGCGGCAGGCCUAAUACAUGCAAGUCGAACGGGAUCCAGAUCAAAGCUUGCUUUGGUUUGGUGAGAGUGGCGCACGGGUGCGUAACGCGUGAGCAACCUACCCUUGUCAGGGGGAUAGCCCGGCGAAAGUCGGAUUAAUACCGCAUGACAUCAUUGAGAGGCAUCUUUCGAUGAUCAAAGAUUUAUCGGACAAGGAUGGGCUCGCGUGACAUUAGCUAGUUGGUAAGGUAACGGCUUACCAAGGCUACGAUGUCUAGGGGCUCUGAGAGGAGAAUCCCCCACACUGGUACUGAGACACGGACCAGACUCCUACGGGAGGCAGCAGUAAGGAAUAUUGGUCAAUGGACGGAAGUCUGAACCAGCCAUGCCGCGUGCAGGAAGACGGCCCUAUGGGUUGUAAACUGCUUUUAUACGGGAACAAACGUCGGUACGUGUACCGGUCUGAGUGUACCAUAAGAAUAAGGAUCGGCUAACUCCGUG
rnacentral:rRNA from 1 species